CCGGUUGAUCCUGCCGGACCUGACUGCUAUCGGAUUGGUACUAAGCCAUGCGAGUCGUUGUAGCAAUACAUGGCGGACUGCUCAGUAACACAUAGUUGACUUAACCUAUGGAUGGGAAUAACCUCGGGAAACUGAGAAUAAUACCCAAUAGACCACAGUGCCUGGAAUGGCCUGUGGUUGAAAUGAUUUAUCGCCGUAGGAUAGGACUGCGGCCUAUCAGCUUGUUGGUGAGGUAAUGGCCCACCAAGGCUAUGACAGGUACGGGCUCUGAGAGGAGGGGCCCGGAGAUGGGUACUGAGACACGGACCCAGGCCCUAUGGGGCGCAGCAGGCGAGAAACCUUUGCAAUGUGCGAAAGCACGACAAGGUUAAUCCGAGUGUCUCCUGCUAAAGGAGUCUUUUGUCAGUUGUAGAAUCACUGGUGAAUAAGGGGUGGGCAAGUUCUGGUGUCAGCCGCCGCGGUAAAACCAGCACCUCGAGUGGUCAGGAGGUUUAUUGGGCCUAAAGCAUCCGUAGCCGGUUGCAUAAGUUUUCGGUUACAUCUAUGCGCUUANGUAUAGGCCGCGAAAAUCUGUGCAGCUAGG
rnacentral:rRNA from 1 species